rnacentral:snoRNA from 1 species
UCAAAGUAUGUGUACCUGCUGUAAAUAUGGACAUAAAGCCAUCUGUGGGAAAAAAGUGAGCUUGUAAUGAGUUUUGAUUCUCAUAAAGAACCCACAUUACAUGA